CAUCUGGCAUAACUCUCCCCGACGUUUACGUCAGGCAGCCCACUGUCUGUACACAAUAUUUUUGCUCUCUCCUUCCAGAAUAUGUUCUUAUAUUCUUUGUUUGUUCCUAUAGCCCGUCCCAUCAUCGCGUUUCCGACACGCCAGAUCUUUACCAUCAUGAAAAGCGGAAUAUGUUCGUCGCAAAAUUGCUUGCUUUAGGUCCAAAGAUUUUUUUUUUUAGUUCGGGGGAAUGUGCAAAUUAAAAAGAUGGUCCGCUAAUUAUUUUACUAUAAAAAUAUCAGUUAGUGUAUAUCCGUUUAUAAAUUUACGUUUAGAGACUUCAAGUGAGUAAAAAAUUAUGUAAUUUAAGACAGGUCUAUAUGCUGCUAAUGUUAUAGGUAGUUGUGCGUUACAUUAAAAAGUUAAGUAGAUGAAAUUCUUUUAAGGAUUAAGGACUCGGAAGUAGGAGUAAAAAAGUAUGUACUCGAAUGGUAAAGGUA
rnacentral:rRNA from 1 species